GCAGUUAGCUCAGUUGGUUAGAGCGUGGUGCUAAUAUUCAUACACAAUGUAUGGAAACGCCAAGGUCGCGAGUUCGACCCUCGUAGUGAUCA